rnacentral:misc_RNA from 1 species
GAUGAAGAACGUAGCGAAAUGCGAUACUUGGUGUGAAUUGCAGAAUCCCGUGAACCAUCGAGUCUUUGAACGCAAGUUGCGCCUCAAGCCAUUAGGUUGAGGGCACGUCUGCCUGGGCGUCACAUAUCGUUGCCUGAUGCCAGUUUCCUCGUGAUGGGUGACUGUGCAGGGCGAAUGAUGGCUUCCCGUGAGCAUUGUUGCCUCAUGGUUGGUUGAAAAUUGAGUCCUUGGUAGGGAGCGCCGUGAUAGAUGGUGGUUGAGUGACGAACGAGACCCAAUCAUGUGAGACCCCUACCGAAUUUGGCCUUCAUGCCCCACAUGCGUCUUUGGAACGCUCAUGACGAGACCUCAGGUCAGGCGGGGCUACCCGCUGAGUUUAAGCAUAUCAAUAAGCGGAGGA